UACAGAGGUCUCAAGCGUUGUUCGGAUUCAUUGGGCGUAAAGGGUGCGUAGGCGGCGCGGUAAGUCGGGUGUGAAAUCUCGGGGCUUAACUCCGAAACUGCAUUCGAUACUGCCGUGCUUGAGGACUGGAGAGGAGACUGGAAUUUACGGUGUAGCGGUGAAAUGCGUAGAUAUCGUAAGGAAGACCAGUGGCGAAGGCGGGUCUCUGGACAGUUUAGCUGACACUGAGGCGCGGACAGCGUGGGGAGCAAACAGG
rnacentral:rRNA from 1 species